rnacentral:rRNA from 1 species
GACGAACGCUGGCGGCGUGCUUAACACAUGCAAGUCGAACGGAAAGGCCCUGCUUUUGUGGGGUGCUCGAGUGGCGAACGGGUGAGUAACACGUGAGUAACCUGCCCUUGACUUUGGGAUAACUUCAGGAAACUGGGGCUAAUACCGGAUAGGAGCUCCUGCUGCAUGGUGGGGGUUGGAAAGUUUCGGCGGUUGGGGAUGGACUCGCGGCUUAUCAGCUUGUUGGUGGGGUAGUGGCUUACCAAGGCUUUGACGGGUAGCCGGCCUGAGAGGUUGACCGGCCACAUUGGGACUGAGAGACGGCCCAGACUCCUACGGGAGGCAGCAGUGGGGAAUAUUGCACAAUGGGCGGAAGCCUGAUGCAGCAACGCCGCGUGCGGGAUGACGGCCUUCGGGUUGUAAACCGCUUUCGCCUGUGACGAAGCGUGAGUGACGGUAAUGGGUAAAGAAGCACCGGCUAACUACGUG